AUUGAACGCUGGCGGCAUGCCUUACACAUGCAAGUCGAACGGUAACAGGUCUUCGGAUGCUGACGAGUGGCGAACGGGGGAGUAAUACAUCGGAACGUGCCCGAUCGUGGGGGAUAACGAAGCGAAAGCUUUGCUAAUACCGCAUACGAUCUACGGAUGAAAGCAGGGGACCGCAAGGCCUUGCGCGAACGGAGCGGCCGAUGGCAGAUUAGGUAGUUGGGGGGAUAAAAGCUUACCAAGCCGACGAUCUGUAGCUGGUCUGAGAGGACGACCAGCCACACUGGGACUGAGACACGGCCCAGACUCCUACGGGAGGCAGCAGUGGGGAAUUUUGGACAAUGGGCGAAAGCCUGAUCCAGCCAUGCCGCGUGCAGGAUGAAGGCCUUCGGGUUGUAAACUGCUUUUGUACGGAACGAAAAGACUCUGGUUAAUACCUGGGGUCCAUGACGGUACCGUAAGAAUAAGCACCGGCUAACUACGUG
rnacentral:rRNA from 1 species